UACGUAGGCAGCAAGCGUUGUUCGGAGUUACUGGGCGUAAAGGGCGCGCAGGCGGCUCAGACAGUCAGAUGUGAAAGCCCCGGGCUUAACCUGGGAACUGCAUUUGAUACUACUGAGCUUGAGUACGGGAGAGGAUAGUGGAAUUCCCAGUGUAGAGGUGAAAUUCGUAGAUAUUGGGAAGAACACCGGUGGCGAAGGCGGCUAUCUGGACCGUAACUGACGCUGAGGCGCGAAAGCGUGGGGAGCAAACAGG
rnacentral:rRNA from 1 species